UAAUACGGAGGGUGCAAGCGUUAUCCGGAUUUAUUGGGUUUAAAGGGUGCGUAGGCGGCUUUUUAAGUCAGUGGUGAAAUCCUAGUGCUUAACACUAGAACUGCCAUUGAAACUAAAAAGCUUGAGUCAAGGAGAGGUAAGCAGAAUUUAUGGUGUAGCAGUGAAAUGCUUAGAUAUCAUAAGGAAUACCGAUAGCGAAGGCAGCUUACUGGCCUUGUACUGACGCUGAGGCACGAAAGCGUGGGGAGCAAACAGGAUUAGAGACCCUGGUAGUCCACGCUGUAAACGAUGAUCACUCGAUAUAUACGCUUGCGUAUGUGUCUGAGCGAAAGCAUUAAGUGAUCCACCUGGGGAGUACGCCCGCAAGAGUG
rnacentral:rRNA from 1 species